AAACAUAAAGCUGCCCCCCUUGUCAUCCAUGCUGCCUAAAGCCUUCUCUGGCUUGCUCUUCCCUCUGAGGAGAGGUCUGGGGCUUCCCCCCCCCUUUAAAUUUUUAUUUUAAAGAUUUAGACUUACUUUUUAGUGAUUCUGUUUACAUAGUAUAACACCAGCAAAUGACAUGGCAAAGUACUAGACAGAACAUGACUCACCUGGAGUCUGGGGAGAGGGGACAUAUAGGAAGCCAAGCUAAUGCUUAGUGUUGGAUGUUUCUGGGCCAACUGGUAAUAUUUGAACAAUUUUGAUGCUGAUGUAUAUUGUACAACUAAUACGUAAUUGAAAUUUUCGAAUUGUAUGUUUUACCACAAGAAAAUAUUACACUCUACUAAAAACUGUCUUACUAAUCUUUACCAAGAGUGCUUUCCAUGCCAGUGCAUUCCUCCUGACAGCAGCCCUGUGCCUUUUCAGAUGGACUCUGAUAAUUUACUUAACAGGGGCCCUAGGGAUUGGCCUUUGGAUUGUUACAGGUUUCCCCGAGGAAGCGGCAGCACACAAGUGACUUUGACCGUGUGUUCUAAUACUUGUGUUUCCCUAGGCAAAAUUACUAGAAGAUUUGCUGAUCAAAGGAUAUGCUCAUUAAAAAAUGUUAAUAAAUACUGCCAAACUGCUUUCCAAAGAAGUUGUAUUAGCUUAAUUCUCAUGAGUAGUAGAGAAAGGCACCUGUUUCUACAUACCUUUGCCAUAUGGUAUUAGCAAGUUUUUAAUCUUUGCCAUUCUGAUAGGUAAAAAAGAAUUUCUCUUUUAAAAGUGAUUUUAUUUUUUUAUUAUGUGGAUGUGACUGAAGAACCAGUGGAGUCCAGAAGAAAGCUUUGGAGUUCUUGACCUCUGAAAACAGGCUUUUUUUCCUGAAGCUUUAUUUAGGUUUUUGUCAUUAUUAGCAGAAUCCAGCACUUUUCAUGUUUACUGCCAAUUACUUUUACUUUUACUUUUCUGUGAAUUUUUUUCUUUCUUUCUUUUUUUUUUCUCGGAGCUGAGGACCAAACCCAGGGCCUUGCGCUUAUUCACCUUCUUAAUUGGUCCCUUACAGAUUUGUUAAGAAGUUACACACAUAUAUCAGGUGUGGGCUGUAUGUAUUGAUGGUAUUUUUCUCCUUUUUUCCUCCUUUCUCCUGUUGAAUUGGUUCUUUACAUAAAAUUGGUAAACUUACUUUCUCUUGUUUUUAAGUGAGUCAAGCCCCAGUAUUCACAUCCUUACACUAUCUAUUUCCUAUUUAUGGUGUACCUUAGCAAUUAAAACCAUUUUUGCAACACUAACAAAGGAACACUUUCAAUCCAGCUAGUGAAAGUGGCAGAUUGACACUUACAUUUACAAAACACAAGUCUCCCGGGUUCUAGACGCUGUUUAUUUUCUGUUAUCCUAGAUAUGGUACUGAUAUAUUCCUUUUCUGUGUGUUUGGGGAUAAUCACAUCUGCACUCCUCCUCAGAGUGAAUCCCAAGUGCAGCUGCGUGAAUGCCAGAUACCUAGACAUUGUGACACAACAUCUUCAGAUGUAGUUGAAUUAUCUCAUUCUGGCUGAGAUGGCCCCCAGGUAUUGACAACAGCGACAGAGUGGCAGAGUAAGUGGGCCAAAGUUCGAGAAAUCAUUAGGACCCAGAAAAGGUGUGGCUUUGACAUGGGAGCAGCAGUAAAGCAUGAGCAAAUGUGUCUUCUUCAGGGAUUAAUAGAGUUGGGUGUUGUGGCCCAAGCACGGAAACCUGGUGAUUCAGAGGCAGAGGCGGGGAAGUGCUACAAGAUCAAGGCCAGCCUGAUUUGUCUCCAGAGAAGAUAAGAAGAGCUAGCUCAGUCUUAUCGAAGAUGCUUAUCGUCCAAAUGCUGAAAUACUGGGGAAGUGGAGUCAGGGCAGGUCUUUGGAGUUCACUGGCCAGGAGCCUAGUGAACCAGGCGAGUGAGAGAUUUUAAAAAAAAAGGUGAAUGGCCUUUAUAGAACAAGAUGAUCUCUCUCUCUCUCUCUCUCUCUCUCUCUCUCUCUCUCUCUCACACACACACACACACACACACACGACAGAAUGAAGAAAGAUUUUAAAGUCAAGUGAAGGAAGAGUGCUGUUUAUUGAAGAUUUACUUUGUCCCAGAUACUAAACAGAUUCACCUCAACUGUACUUUUACGUCAGCUUUUAGUACGGGAUCAGCCUAGGGUUGCAAAUCCUAGGGUCCUAAACCCAGGAAAGAUCACCUUCUUCAAGGAUCAGAGUAUAAAUCAAACCUUAGAGUUAGUCAUUAGGGUUUAGGAGAUUUGAGAGCAGGAAUGGGCUAGCAUGGUUUCUGUUCUGUCAGCCAGAAGCUUAGGCAGAAAUAUUAGUGGAAGUUGGCUAAGUAAGGAAGCAGAAAGGGAAAGUAUUCAGAUAAGCAUACAUCAGGCCUCUGCAGAGCCAACUGCCCAUCAGCAGCUGCACUCUGAAGGAACUUAGCUUGCUGGAUGAGGCUUGCUAGAAAAGGCCAGCAUCCUGAGUGGGCCAGAUCAGGUGUUUGGAACUAACACAGCAAACAGAAACGUCUUCCUUAAGACUAAGGAAGACAAAGACUUGAAAGAACUGAGCAGAGCAUGUCUUACUGCACUGUCAGUUCUUGCCAACAAGUGCUGUGCUGAGCUGGGUGCCAUGUUAGGUGUUGGGGUUUUGUGGUUCCCCACAGUUUGGAAAGUACUCUGGACCUGUGGAGGAGUAAGCGUGAUGUGCACAGAAGAAGGACAUAGAGUAGACCUGAAGAAUCUGCUGAGGCUCGGGCAUGGCUUUGGUUGUAAAUAAACCAGGUGAUUGCUGGUAAAGUCACACAGGUAAAGUGGGGCAGGGAAGGGAGGCGGCGAGCCUUCGAGCAGGCAGAGUAUGCCGUACUUGCUGGUAGACUUGAACAUGAUUGAGAGGUCAGGGGUCGUUCCUAAGAACUUGCAGGACUUUGUGGAAAAGCAAGUUGUAUGUCUCUCUGUGUUAUCAGGGUGGUGGAUGGACAGAGUUCAGUUUGUACUUAAUAGAUUUACCUGGUUGUUUCUAUGGAGCAUUAUUUGGGUUGUUGUCUCUCCUAUGUAUUUUCUAUGAACUGUACAUUAGAUAUAUAGGCUAGACUAGGGUAAGCAUUUGGGAGGGGGCCACUUUAUAAGCAGUGCAGAGGACCACAAGCAGAUAGAUUUGGAUAUCCCACGAUUACUAGUGUUCAAUUUGAUUACUGCUCAAAGUAGUUCAGUCAGAUGUCUUCAUUGUAAAAUUAUAGUUUUCAUUUUGUGAAGGUCACCUCUGGGUGACCUUUGGCACUGCUCCUCUUUAAUCUUUCACUUAAGAGGUUUUAUUUUUUAAACUUCGAAUUAUGGAAAAUGUCAAGUGUUCCCAAAAGUAGAGUUGAAGAUGAAUAGCCUUAUAACCACCAUUCAGCAGCAACUACUGUCAGCACAUGGACUAGCUGCCAUUCCUUCUAUGCCUGUCUACCACUCCACGACCAGAUUUUUGAAGGCAUCAUACAUUUCUGACCAUUAGCAUUAUAGAAAGGACUCUCCUUUCUAGACCAUAAAGACCUUUAUGAUACAUUUGCUGAUCUAUCUGCUCUGCCCAAGAACAAGACUUUGAGAUAUAGAUAGAUAGAUAGAUAGAUAGAUAGAUAGAUAGAUAGAUAGAUAGAUAGAUAGAUAGAUAGAUAGAUAGUCUUGAAUUCAAUGGUUUACUGUGGUGAGUAAAGUGGAAGUAAAUUCAGGGAGUACUGGAGUACUGGAGUACUGGAGUACUGGAGUACUGGAGUACUGGUCUUAAGACCAGGGUUGCAAACAGGAGUGAGUGGUACUGUUGCCAGGAAGGGAGAGCUGUAAAUACUCUGGUGUGUGUCAGGGUAGGGAUGCUGUGUGAUAUGAUUGAAGGUGUGGGCAAUGGAAAAGAGAAGACAGGGAGGAAAACCUCAGAGCAUCAUUAAGCCUCUGUCUUCCCAAACAUUGCUGUCUGCUGGUUAGUGUUGGGGAAGUGAAAGGGGUGAAGAUCGGGGGUGUCGGGGAGGAACAGGAUCCGUUUAGUCAUUGACCAACAACUGCAAUUCAGGCUGGAGAGAUUCAAGGUCAAGGGCAGGAAGGGUGAGACAGAGCCAGACUAUGUAACCGUUUGUCCCUGGUUUCUUUGAGACCUAAUGACCAGGGAAGGUACACCUAUCUGCUAGGGUAGUAACCUUUGAGCAUUCAGGAAAGGCACACGUUGUAGUUGUUUUUGUUUGGGAGAACUUUGAGUCAGAAUUUGUGUCGUUGGCUAACCAAGAAAACUUGGAAAUGACAGCUUCUCUUCUCAGAGAUAGUGGUGUUUUGCAUUGUUUUGUUUAAUGUCUGUUUGAGGCUAGGGGUAGAGCUCAGAGGUAGAUUACUUUCCUAGUAUGUACAAGACCUUGACUUCAAGCUCCAGCACUACAAAAGAAAGCAAAAUAAAGCAAAAGAUAGAAGCUCUUGAAAGAAUUCUUUGAGAGUGGCCAUUACUGAAGAUUGAAAAGGGAGCUGGAAGAAAAGAAGUCCGGUUAGCUGAGUCAGCUUCUUCUCAGUGGUGAAACUCAGUGGUGAAAUAGUAGUCUGUGCCCAGGGGAGGCUUUUACAGAUGGGAUGAUUUCUCAGUGAGCAUCAAACACAUGUUUAAGAGAAUGACUGACAUUCUCUUAAAUGACUUUGUGAACUUUAAUGCUGGGAGACAAGUUAAGCUGUGUUUGGAGCUCAUAUCCUCUUUUUUUUAAAAUCUUUUUUUUUUUUUUUUUUUCGGAGCUGGGGACCGAACCCAGGGUCUUGCGCUUGCUAGGCAAGCACUCUACCACUGAGCUAAAUCCCCAACCCCUCAUAUCCUCUUAAUGUUUGUGUAUGUACAUGCAUGUGCAUUUGUAUACAUGCAUACAUGUGUGUAAAGUGGUAAUGUUAGCUCUACCAUACGCAUCUUUCCCAGGAGGGUGGUAGCCAUUAUUUAUAUAUUAUACCUCACAGCAUGUGAAACAUUUUUGCACACCUAUUUCCUUGGAUUUAUGGUCUGUCUUUUCAGGAGAGGAAUUGAAGUGGUUGGCUAUAGAAGACACAGUAAAAGCGACACCCCACUGUACUUUCCAUGACAGAGUAAGCAGAAGGGGGAUUUUAAAGUUAGACCCAGUUUGAAUUCUGUCUCCUCUUUUUACUGACUAUACUUUGGGUUUUCUUGCUUAGUAAAAUAAAUAGAAUUGGUAACACUUACCUGUGGAAUUGUUUGUUUUAGAGUAUUAAAUGAAUUGGCACAAUUAAUGUAUGGGAACAGUACUCCGCAUACAAGGUCAAAGAAAACUGUUAAGAACAGAGUAGCAGGUGAUUGGCACCAGAGAAGCCUGUGCAGUGUCCUAGUUGUCCAUGUUUGAAACUGUGAGUGGUCUUCUGUUCUGACUGCGAGUUCUUUAUAGUCUGUGCUUCAGUCUCAGAGCAGCUCAAGGUUGGUUGUUUUUUGUUUUUUUUUUAAAGAUUUAUUUAUAUGUGUAUGUUAAAGUGUUAAAGCAUUUUAGUGGUGGAAGCCGUGCAGUCAGUACUUGUUGGUAAGUUUCUCUUUGGAAGCAAGCUUCUAAAUGCAAGAUUGGCAAGUGACUAGUACCUAGCGUACUAGCUAAUGUUGCUCGAUGUCUUUCUUGAAUUUUGUUAACUUUUUUUAUUUGGAAUUCACUAUACAGACCAGGCUGUUUUUGAACACAUAGAGGUCUGCUUGCCUCUGUCUCUGAAGUGCCAGGAUUAAAGGUGUGUGCCACCACACCCUGCAAAUUUUGUUAGUCUUUAUCUUACUAAUUCCAGAAAAAGAGUUGCCACUCAUGUGGACUUGACAUGGCCAAUUCGACAUGAUCGCUUUUGUUUUGUCAGUCACUGUCCUCGUCACAGGUAGCUGUACCCAGAGGAGCUGGGCUCCGUGGCAGCUGUAUUAGUGCCACACUUUAGAAUGGAGUCGGGAGCUGCGCAGUUCUCAGAUCUCCGCCCUUCAUUCUCCCAGUGGACUCAUGCUUAAUAUCUUUGUAUUCCUGUUAUUCUCAAUUCCCAACCUGCGUUAGAACCUCUAAGCCCAGCUCUUUCUCUAAAGCCGCCCUCUUUCUCUGCUCAAGUGUGCUGCCAUCCCAGCUAAGCCUCACUUAGUACUGGCAGGACCAAUUCACCUUCCCCUCCCCCCUCCUCCUUCUCUCUUUUUCUAUUGUUUUAAAAAAAUAAUAAAUGCAUUAAGAGGGAAGUAAAACCAGUUUAUUAUUAUUUGGUCUCUAUUGUCCUUUGGGUGGCUUAUGCCACACAUAUUUGUUUUUUCUUAUUAGUAUCAUCUAUGCAUAAAUCUUUCACUUAGACUUUGUAACUUACUUUUUGUACUGAUUUUGGUUGGUUAGAUCUACAAAUACUAUUUAAAACUAUUUUGCAAUAUUUAAUCCUGCAUAGGAUUUCACUGUAUGGAUGAAUCAAUUUGAUGAUAGACUUUUGGGCUGUUUAAAAAUUGGCAGUUUUACCCAGAGGGGAUAGGAACCCCACAGGAAGACCAACAGAGUCAACUAACCCCGACCCUAGGGAGCUCCCAGAGACUGAACCACCAACCAAAGAUCAUUCAUGGGCACAUCUAUAGGAGAUGCGCAGCUUGGUCUUCAUUCAGGUCCCCAACAACUGCAGUAGGGGCUGUCCCUGGCUCUGUUACCUGCCUGUGAAUCCUGUUCCCCUAACUAGGCUGCCUUGUCUGGUCUCAGUGGGAGAAGAUGUGCUAAGUCCUGCAGUGACUUGAGAUGCCAGGGUGGGUUAGUACCCAGGAAUACUUCCCCUUUCUCAGAGGAGUAGGGAAGAGGGAAUGGGGGAGGGGCCACAUGAAGGGGGGACUGGAUUAGGAUAUAAAGUGAAUAAAUAACAUUUUAACAAAAAGAAAUUGACAAUUUUUAUUUUCUGUGGUAAAUUUGCCUGCUAUAAUUUCUGGAUAAAUAUUUCUAUAAAUUUCUAUAUGAAAGUGGAAUUGUUAGUCUAGAAGGCAUUUAUCAUACCUAAGUGAUUUAAUAAUAAUAUCUUUUUGCUUUUUGAAAACAGUAUCUUUUGAAGUUUGGAUAAGAAUAUGGAUAAAAGGUUAAUAUGAAAAAAUACAUGUAUAAACUAGUUCAACUGAAUUGAUAGUAUGUAAUUUGCCAUUGUAUAACAGUGAAUGAGGGUGGCUGUCUUUCUGUCUUGUCUUCUAUCUAUCUGACGUUGUUGUAAUGAGCACCUGCGUACAGUAAAUAUGCAUGGGUUUAUAUCCAUAGUACCUAGACAAAUGAGCUGCUCUAAAGGAAGAUACACUUCUUUACCUUGAGGAGUAAUUACAAGGCUCUGUCUACUGUGUUUAUCACAAUGCCUAUAAGAGCUCACUUCCUCUCACUUUUGCUAAGACUUAGAGAUGCCACCUCCGUAUUUUCCAGUCUGGCGAGUAUGAAAUAAUAUCUCAACACUUAUAUUUGUGGUUUCUUGAUAUACCAAAGAAGUUAAGCAUUGUUUUGGGUUUUUUUUUUUUUUUGACACUUGUUACAUACAUUUUCCUCUUUUUCAGUCAUUUUUUUCCCUAAUGAUUGUAGAAGUUCUUGACAUAGUCUUAAUCUUUAGUCAUUAGCACUUAUGUAAUUUGCAGUUAUUUUGGUGUGAGGCUUGUCUUUUAACUUUUUAGUGAGUAUUAGCAUCAUGUAUACUUUUCAGAGCUUUUGAAAUGUGCAGUUAUAUUUAUAUGUAGGAAAAUUAUAUUCCUAAAUUUCUUUCAGAAAAAUGGCAAUGGUUUACAGAGCAAUCGUGGUGUAUUGAGUGCCGUUUGAUACACUUUGCCUGAGUUUGGCAAUCAUUUUGCCAAGUGUAAUAGACAAGAGAGGUAGUAUCUUUGAUUUUAACUUUCCUUGAGCUUGCUUACUGCUUCAUUGUAGCUGAAAGCCUGCCUCACCUGAUGCUUCACUUCCAAUGAAGCCACUCAACUCCUCCCCAUCUCUUACUCUGUGCUCCUUUAAAAAGAUUACUUGUUUACUUUUAUUCUAUGUGUCCAUGCAUAUAAUGAAUAUUUUGCUUGCAUAUAUGUCUGUGUACCAUGUACUAACCUUGAAGGCCAAUAGAAAGUGUCAGAUCCAUUAGAACUAGGGUUACAGUUGUGAGCUGUUAUUUGGAUGCUGGGAAUUGAAUACAGUUCCUUCAGGAAGAGCAGCCAGUGCUCUUAGCCAUUUAUCUGUGCUCCUUGAUGUUGUUUGAAGGACUCCUCUGCAUCUUUACUUUUUCUUUCAGACAAGGUCUCUUGUUCCUGACUGGCCUGGAACUUGCUAUUUGAACCAGGCUAGCCUUGAACUCAUAAGGGAUCUACCUGCCUUGCACCUCUACACCAACUUCAUCUUCACUCUUCUUAACAUGCAGUAGCAUAGCUAUACCUUGGGCACUGUCACUCGGGGUAGUUAGUUCAACUUUCUAAACUCUGAAAAUUGUCCUGUGUACAUUUCCCUUCAUUCUCCCUAAUUUUCCCUCUUAACACCUCCAGUGUUUCUUUUUUGCUCAUAAGAUUCAUAGCUGCCCCAAGAACUGUCCACUUGAUUUUCUCUUCAGCCUAACCUCAAACAAACAUUUCUGAUUAACUCAGGUCCCUUCCAUGUCUUUGCUGGUCAUGAUCAGACUUUUCUGCUGUAGCCUCCAAACUUGAGAAUGGCUUCAUCUUUCACCAGAAGCACAGAACAUGGUUCCUUGUUUCUUUCUUGGGUAUUUUUGUGCUUUCCUAGAGUUAAGAUCCUUAAUUUGUCUUCUGAGACAUGGUAUUUCUUCUGUAUUUUCAUCUGUCCUCUUCUCUCUGCCCCUUUCAACUCAGCAGCCAUCAGCUUGAACAUCUCUCUGCUGCUCAUGUCUUCUACUUGUCUACCUUCAAGCUUUGCUCCUGAAGUUCCAUUGGCCCAGCAGAGUCUCUUUAUUCUUGCACUGUUAACUGGGCCUCUUAAUUGACCUAUCUACUAGCAUUUAAAAUUCGUGUCUCUGUCUACCUAUUAGAAACAUAGGCUCCCGAGGAUGGACCUGUGUCUCUUAUAUCUUGGUGCUCAGAACUGAGCACAUUGGUGUGUACUUAGCUGGUGUUUGGUAGGUGUUAAUUGAAUACACACUAUUAUGAAAUAUAACGCGGAGAUGGCAGGCCCAUACCCAGAUGUGCCCCUGAGAAAUUACACUGUGCAGCAGACUUUGUUUAAAAGAGGUUUAUUGGAGAAGGGGAGAUGAGUGAGGGCCUGGGAAAAGGGAUAGAGGCAGGCAGACAGGUGGGCAUGUAGACAGGUAGACAGAUGGGAACAGAGCCCUGAGGGCAGAUGGAAAAGGGGGGCAGUGUACAGAAAACAGAUAGAGGGGAUCAUGGAACAGGGGGUGGGGUGGGGAGACAGAGAUGCAGACAGACACACAGACACACAGACAGACAGAUGGGUCCUUCUGAUCUGUGGCACACACCUGUCAUACCUGGUGGCUGCAGCGGGUUAUGAUGUAAGCAAUCGCUAGGUCCCUGAGGGCAGAUCAGUGGAAUCUCCUGUAUGCUCACAUUCUUCCCUUUUUGUUUAAUUUAAAUCAAGGAACCAGUGAUGGUGGGUUAGGAGUGAGGGUGUUGUGUUCUUUAGACUACUUCCUGCAGACUGGUCACAUUAUCUUUGGAGACCCUAAGAAAAUUCUGGCCAAGUCUUGGGGGAGCUGGCUGUUUCACUGCUGUCCAGGUUCUGUCCAUCUAGGGUUGGGAGAGUGCAGGCCCAGUUGAAGCCAUCUGUGAAGCUGCACUAGAUUACUUAGGGCAAGCCUCCUUGGAGCUCUCCAGGAUACAGACUUUGAGGAAACACCUGGACAUGGCAGGAUGCUGGGAUAGAUAUCAGAAGAUGAAGUUAAGGAUUUCAGGGAGAAUUACUUUUUCUUACAUUAUCGUUGUUUGUAAUCUAUUGAAACCCACAUUGUAGAGAAGACAAUAGAUCCAUACCUUUGUGUCAUAGUAGAAACUUGGGAAACAGUUUUGGGUUAAAAGCAUGAAUUCUCUUUAAGGUGAACUCAGGAAAAACCAAAGUCUUCCAUGGAGCAAAAGUUCACUUGAUCUUGAUUUUCAGUAUGAUUACAAGGAGGGUCUUCUUCCCUCUACCCAGAAAACUGGGUGUAUAUAGAUUUAGCACAAGGAGAAACAUUUUUAAAUUUAUACUUAAAAGACAGUCAUAGGAAAAUUAAAAUCUUGAGCUUGUGACUAUGGUGUGGUAUUAUAUGGUGAGGGCUUUACCAGAGUUAGACUAAUGACUUAUCAGAACUCCACUAAUUAAUGUUAAAACUUUAAACUUUGAAGUCUUAAUACAACAGUAGGACAGUGAUGAGAAGAGAUAUGAAGCAAUUUUCAUUCCUUUUAUACUGUAAAUCACUUUCUUAUCACCAUUUAAGCUUUGUAGCUAAGAGGCCUGGUAGUUUUUUUUUUUUUUUUUUUUUUUUUGGUUCUUUUUUUCAGAGCUGGGGACCGAACCCAGGGCCUUGCGCUUCCUAGGUAAGCGCUCUACCACUGAGCUAAAUUCCCAGCCCCCUGGUAGUUUUAACUAAUGAACUGACUAAUGAACUAACACGGUGGUGGAUUACCUUGAGGUAAGGAGCUAAUUGCCUGUUGUUCUCUAGCUGUCAAGCUACAGUUAGCUUAGCUGUCAAUGUUAUCAAAGACCUGAGAAGAAUAAAUUAUAAUCUGAGUGGCAUAUGCAUCAAUUAAAAUGACAGAGACUAGUCCAUAGUCCGUUGCCUAGACAGUUGUCCUAGGUUCCUCUGGUCUCUGUGGCACUGUGGGCAGAGGCAGUCUUUGGCCAUCAGGCCCAAAUGAGAAGCUUUUUCUGUGGAGAAGGAACACGAGAGAGACUGGCCUCACCUUGUUUUAGGCAAAUCGGGGCAGUCAACUCUCUGGUAUCCUGUUUGUCCGAGGUUUGAGCCCCAGCAGCAGGUGAGGCAUUGGAACAGUCUUGGUCAGUGGUUAGUGUACAGCAAUCCAAGUGAAGUCCUUUGUUUUUGUGCCCAUUAUCUUCUGGGAGACCUUGUGGGGCCACUGUUAGGCUCUGAGAGUCUUUCACUUGUCAUAGUAAGUUUAGACAUCUUAUGCCAUAUUCAGCAGAUCUCUAACAAGUUUGAGGGCCACAUUGUUUACACAAACUUGUUUCUAAGUACUUUCUGCUUUAAUUUUGAAAACACGUAUAGGAGGCUAAAUAAGGCUUGUUCCUGUAAUUAAUUGCAUCUGUUCUUAGCAUAACUUCAAUUGUAAUUCUGAAUGCAUUAAAGGAUUUGAUCAUUUAUAAGGUGACUGAUUACCAAUUUGACAUUUUAAAUUAUCCUUAAUAGUUUGUAAUAAUUUAAUGGAUUUCAUAAGACUAGGACUUUUAUGUUUUAUCCCUGUUAGGUUUAGACUUAAAAUAACAAUUUUAAAUUGGAGCCUUCUCAGCAUCAAAACAAAACCUUUUAAUCUAUAAACAGUCCCUAAAGAGACUGGAAACUUUUGUGACCUUCAUGUGGUGUGUCAUUGUAGAACACAACCGUUUCCCAUAUGAUUUAGUUUAUUUAAAAUCUAUAGCUUAACAACAUUAGCAAAAACAAGGUUAAACAUUUUAUGCCAGUGAUUUUUAACAUUUUUAAUGCUGUAAACCUCAAAAAACUUUUUUUUAAAGAGCUCUCAGCUGUGUUUCUGAGUUUAUCAGUUCAGGGUCCAGGGAAGAAGAGCGGAUCCAGCAACAGUGACAAGCUUGGAGUUAGCCAUGAUGGCUCUCUAGGACAGGGGAGCGAAGUGCACAAAGGAUUGGUUGGGCCUGGAAGGAUCCUCCACCCGCUCCUUUCCCUCCUUUCCCGAGCUGGAGGCAGGGUGAAGAGCAGCAAGCCAGUUGGCAGGCUUGCCUUUUCUGCCUUCAAGUACUUUGUGUCUGUUGCUAACAACAGACAUGGGUAGUGUAAAUAAAACACAGACUCACAGGCACAGGGACACAUGGAGCCAGGACUGAGGGGGAAGGGCUGAAGUGGACCAGGACUGAGGAUGCAGGGCUGAGUGUCUGAAGGCGCUGUGUGGACUCCAUCCUCUCUCCAUCCAUGAUGUGGACCUAUCAUAAGCUGUUGUGUGGGAGACACUCCACUACUGUGGAGCAGGAGAGAUCUAGAUGACAGGUUCCAGAUAAGGUGAUUGGCAUGACUAGAUGUACUUUGCUCAAGCUGACACUCCUACAAGCUAGAUGCUUGUGACCUGAGGCUGCAUGAUGGCUUAUUUUCCCCUCUCCUUUCUGGAAUCAGCAACAGGACCUGAUUUCUGAGCUGAUCUGGAAAGCCAUGUAGAUUUGCACCCCUGACUUUGUGAAUAGUGCUUUGAGUAAGUUCCUGAAGGCGUGCGCUCCCAUCAUGUGGACUAAGAUUGACUCACCUCUCUGGAGGGAUGAUCCUAACAACAAGAGGCUGGGCAUUUGGUGCUCAGGGACUUGCGGUUCAGGUAGAUGGUGAUAGGGCUAGGUAGUCUCUGUCAAAUGGGUAUCUGUGAUUAUGUGCAGAGAAGAUAUUCUGGGUCUGAGGUAAUAAAUGGAUUGAAAUUCUAUGGAGAGAUGGCUCAGUGGUUAAGAGCCCUGACUGCUCUUCCAGAGGUCCUGAGUUCAAAUCCCAGCAACCACAUGGUGGCUCACAACCAUCUGUAAUGAGAUCCGAUGCCCUCUUCUGGUGUGUCUGACAGCUACAGCGUACUGAUAUUAAAUAAAUAAAUAAAUCUUGAAAUUCUAGAGCAUUCCUUUAGUGCAUCACUUUGAGCACUUCUUUUGUAGUGUCUGACACAGGGUGAUUAUCUUAGGGUGAGGGUAUUUGAAGCAACAUGUGAUAGAUCUAAGGAAUAUAUUUGUACUGGCUGGUUUUAUGUGUCAACUUGACACAAGCUGAAGUUGUCACAGAGAAAGGAGCCUCAGUCGAGGAAAUGUCUCCAUGAGACCCAGCUGUAAGGCAUUUUCUCAAUUAGUGAUCAAGAGGAGGUGGACCCAGCCCAUUGUGGGUGAUGCUGUCCCUGGGCUGGUGUCUUGGGUUCUCUAAGAAGAGCAAGCUGAGCAAGCCAGGGGAAGCAAGUCAGUAAGUAACAUCUCUCCAUGGCCUCUGUAUCAGUUCCUGCUUCCUGCCCUGUGUGAGUUCCAGUCUUGACUUCCUUUGGUGAUGAACAGCGAUGUGGAAGUGUAAGGUGAAUAAACCCUUUCCUCCCCAACUUGCUUCUUGGUCAUAAUGUUUGUACAGGAAUAGAAACCCUGACUAAGGCAAUAUUCUAGGCUCUCAGAAAGAAACAAUGAUCUCCAUUUCAGUCUGGGCAUGAGCUGACUGGGCUCUUAGAAUAUGGAAGCUGUGGGGAGACUUGAUUGGGUCUGGAAUCACACACCUUGGAGUGUGAGUGAGAUUUGAAUAGCAGAGAGGGAGAAGAAGCACACUCCAGCUGUCGAGGGUUUAAGUGUAAAAGAAUAGAGACAGAAAAUGGGCAUAUUGGAACAGGAGGAGUGAUACCUGUAGAGGGAACAGCAUAUUUGUUUGUGUGUGUGUGUGUGUGUGUGUACGUGUGUGCAUGUUUGUGUAUGUGGGUGUAUGAGUGUGUAAGGAAUUAGGGGUAGGAAGGUGGAGUGGUUGUGGCGCAGACAAGAGGAAGAAGAGGGUAAUAAAUUGGCAUUGGUGCUGGGUAGUUAGCCCUGAAUAACAGGCUAGUGUCAUUUAUGAAUAUGGAGAACUAGAGACUGAAGAGUAAAGGGAAAUAUCGAUGUAAUAAUACUGCCUUGCAUUCAAGUCUCUCCUCUGGGUGCCCCCCAAGGCUGCUCCCUGAAGCCAGAGUUAGGAAUCAGUGAUGGAGGAGAAAUCGAAAAGAACACAACACAGUUAACUUUUUCAAUAGUUCUCUAUAUUUGGCUCUUAGUAAGUAAAAUGGCUCCAAGGACAUCUUUGCUCUGCUUCCUAAACUUGUCCUUGAAGCCUCUGGGGCUGUUAUCUAGCUUGGUUAGAGCUGCUGAGCAGUUUUGCAUACUCCUUGCCAGGAAUUAAUGUCCUUGGGCCUCAGCUGGGGUGUGUCCCCAAUCCAGCCAUCUGGAAGGUCAGAGUUAUUAGCCAGUAAAAUGUGCCCAUUAGCUCUUGGAGGGGUUACAACCUGUUAGUGGAAUCCUAAGCCUGGGAACUGCUUCUCUCACAGGGCCUUUCACACUUGGAACAAGCUAACUGGUGUUGCACUCCCUUAUUUGGACACUAAAUUUUCUGGGUGAGAUUGCAGUUUGCCUUUGUUUUGAGUGAGUUUUUAAAGUAUCUGACAUCCUUGUGAGUGAUUUUUUUUUUUAAAGGAGAUCAACAUAGCACCAAAGCAUUUACUUCUCUCCACCUGAGUCUUUCCUGGGCCUCCAGCCCAUCUGUUUAUGAAACCAGAAUGAAGUUCCCAUGUUCUGCAUGCUCACUGGUCUCCCUAGGGAUGAGUGGAGAACACCACCAUAUGGACAGAGACAGUAGAAACAUGAGUCUGGCUCUAGAGAUCAUGGAGAGCUUUGCUUGUGUCCUAGAAAAACCUGGGAGAACUUUUCUGUGCUUUGGGAAAUUUGUUGUGCCCAUCAGCUUGACUUCGUCUGGGGCCAAGACACCAGGAGCAAGGUGCAGGCAGGGAUAUGGGUGGUAUUGGGAGGUAGAGGGGCUACCAUGGGUGAAGAAAUUUUGUGGGACUCUGAGAGCAUACUUCUGUAUACCUCACCCCUCUGCUCAGAGCUAACCCUACCGGAGGGGAGCUCUGUUUACCUCUGGCUGCCCUUUGAUUGUUUCCUGCCUACCCAAGGGAAGUGAUUGCCAGUGACAGUGAUACAGAAUCCUAGCACAGGAGGGAAGGCAGUCAACGAAGUUGUGCUUCCAGUUGGAACUUGCUGAAGCAGCCUUUCAGCCCUCUGGGGGGAAGCUUUGGGCUUAGAGUCAUGCCAAAGAGGCUUAAUGCUUAAAGAUUGGUAGAGCCUAGGAGUAGAGUUGAGGAGGCCCCUUGCUGUCCUCCAGAAGUCGGAGGGCAGGCUGACCAACUGAAAGUGCUGUCCUAGUGGGAAGGCCUUCUGGUGCAGCCCAGUGUCACCAGCGCAUACACAAACCCUUUGUACCAGCACUGCCUCUUACAGACGAGGAGAGUGCAGCUUAGACAGAGUAGCAUUGCUUCAAAGCUUUGUAGCAAUUGGAGGAAUUUUAUAUCCAAAUUUCAUUAACUACUUGGAAUUACUCCAAGACUACUCUUUCCCCAUUAUUCCUUGUAGAGGAAACCAAGCUAGUAUUUUAAGUAAACUUUUAAUUUUAGAAUAGUUUCAGAUUUAUAGAAAAGUUGCAAAGAGAGCACCAAAAGUUCCCAUAGAUGCUGUAAGCCAUUAUUAUUUUCUUUUCUCUUUUUCUGGUCUAUGUAUGAGGGAGUGGGGAAGUAGUGAAGUGAGGACUUUUUUUUUUUCCAGCUUGGUGGGCUUUAGCUGAAGUUCUUGAGAGUCCAUUAUGGUAUAGUAUCUUUCCCCCUAGGAUCCAUUCUGUCUCAGCUGAACUGGGCUGGACCUGGCUUUGCCUUCUCAUUUUAGAGUCCUAUUUCCUGCAUCUACUCAGUGGGGCCGGCUGGUAACUGAGCUGCUGGAAGUUGGGAGGGUCCUUAACUGUCUGGCUACACUGUGUUAUCUGGAAGGGUUUUUUCAAGUCAGUCCUCAUAGUUUAAGCUGGUAUUAGCUGACUUGGAGUCAGAGCUCUCUGGAGGGGUGGGGGGAGCAUCUGGGUGAUUCGAUAGUCUGUUUGCCUGAUGCCUCAAGUUUGACCUUGUAUGGUGCCAGAGUGGUUCAAGGUGGUCAUACUCUGAAGAAGGCAGACAACAGAUAGUAGUGAUGUGUAUGGGCAGCUGCUGUGCUUUGCUUUAGGGCCCAGGCACAUUCUCCAUUUAAGAGAGAAUGGGGUCUGCAAACUUCUUAGCUGUGGGUGUGAAUGGGCUGGCCCGAAGUCUGCUCAUGGCCUUUGCUGAUGUGUUUUGUCAAUGAGAUCAUUCCUCAGUUGCAUUCCUAUGAAACUAUAUUUUACUCAAGACAUGAAGCUAGAUUUGUGUAAAAGCACUGGCACUAACACACAGAGCUCGGAGAAGGCCGAAUGAGAGAGGGAUAAGCAGGUCUUUUGGUGGAGUGGGGAUUAGAUUCAGGAUGUACACUAUGAACUUACCCAGGAAAUGAAAGUGCUGUUCAGCACAGGAAGGGUGCUUGGGUUGUGUUGUCCCAGCUGCCUGCCACUUCUGGGUAACAUGAGAAAGAAGCUUAAGGCUUCUGUGCCUAUGGCUGCUAGGAAGCUCUAGAAGCAGAAAUGUCUGUUCUCACUUAUUUGGCCCACCUUCCUGCAUCUCAUUUCCCACCCCCGACCCCCUCCUCAUCCUACCACUAUGAUAUCUAUUUCUGAUCACACCUUGUGGCACCUGACAUACCGUGUUCCCUCAUCCCACCCAACCCAGAGCUGCCAGGUCUGCAGCUCUGAACUCCAACGUAGAAGUUUAUAAUCCAGUUUAAUUUGGACACUGACUACUUGGAGUUAAUAUAAACCCUCCAGUUUAAGGGCUUAGUCUCACAUGAUUUCCUCAACUCACUAGUCUUAGUCACCGUAUCUCUGGUCAUUUUGAGGGCUUCCUCCCACACGCCUCUCCCGUGGGUUUGAGAAACUGCUGGAAUGUCUCACAGGCAGAACUCGAAAAAAUGUGAAGGGUUCUCGUAGGCCAGAGCAUGACAAACAUGACUCCGGCAAGUUGUGCUCCCUUACCCCUCCUCCCUUCUUAACUGUAGAUUACACCCCUAGAGCUAGCCACCAGGGACUAUUCCCUUAUUGGACCACUUCCUUCUCCUGAGGCUGACUACCAAGGUCUAGCUAUCAAAGUAUUGAAGUCCAGGAAUCAAAAGCCCCCUUUUGACUGUCCUAAUCAAUAUGCUCUAUCAAAGCAAGCCAACUCCUCCUAACAGGGAAAGCUUAGAAUUGACUUGCUUUCUGAUUCCUGACAGAGAAUUCCUGGAAAUUUUUUCCAAGAUAUAUCCAAGUGACAGCAGGGGCGGAGGGGGGGGGGCAGAUAAGCCCUUUCAACAGCACCUGAGUUUAUUAUGCUAAUCAGGUGAUCAGUGGAUUGGAAUCAAUGAACAGAAAGACUUUGGAGGUCGAAGUUUCAGCCUCAUCCUCCUUUCCCUAAACUGCUAUUUGCCUAUGGGCCACAUCUGUCUCCUCUAUCCAGAAGCAGUCCUCUGGGACAGAUAUCCCCCGCCCCCACUCCUUCCUGCUUUUUCCCUUCUCCCUCCUCUACCUCCUGUCUUUUGUCUCUUAUUCCUUGCCCUCUGUCCCUCUGGGACAAGAAAGAAAUCUCUUUCGUGCUGAAAACUUGGUCUUGGUGUAUCCUGUACUUACUCUGGUCCUUUCAAAAUGUACUUACUUGUUACCAGUUUAUUACUAAGUGCACAGCUCAGGAAUGACCAAUAAAAGACCUACAUAAGGCAAGAUAUUGGGGGUGAAGGAAUCAUUAAGUCACACCUCCUCUUGAGUUACCCUCCUAUGUUUACCAAACCAAAGCUUUCGAAUUCCCAUAGUGAGGGGUUCUGUGGAGGAUUUGCUGGUAUUUAGGUGUGAUGGGUUUUGCCCAUGGGGGUUCUAGGGAGUCUGUUGUAUACAUAUUGAUGGAUUAUGUGGUAACAAUAAUAAUGAUAAGUACUGGUGAAGCUCUGCCUUCAGCUCUCUUCUCUCCCCUGAGGCUGGGGAGGGAUGAACCUGAAACUUUCAUCUUCAUAGUCAUUGUUCUUGGUCCGCUGAUCGCCUCAUCAGCAUAAUAACUCUGGUGCUGUAAAGGGCCUAUCUGCCCUCCCUUGCUGUCACUUGGAUUUAUUUAUGUUUAAGGAAAGUUUCAGGAAUUCUCUGUCAGGAAUCAGGAAGAAAAACAAUUCUAAUUCUUACUGUAUCACAAUACACACAGCCCCAAAGGUGCUGGCAACCUUUGAUUAUGCUACUUGGUAUGAUGUAUUUUUCUGCAUUUACUCCCAGCUCACAAUGCUCUGCCCUCCUUCUGUGGCAGACAGAACUCCAGCUAUGUAAAACCCAUUUCCAGCACUGUUUCUAAGCAGUUUGGAAAGCAUUGCCAUCAGUUCUUUUCUGGUACCAGUGUGCUCUGGUUGCCCUUUGUGCAGCCAGCUAUUCCUUAGUUCAUGGCUUAGAGGACAAGGACUGUUUGCAGGGCUGAGGAAAUGGCCCAGUAGGUAUGUAGCCUGCUAUGCAAGCCUGAUGUGAGUUCCAUCCCGAGAACACACAGAAAAAAGAGAGCCAGUUCCACAAAACUGUCUUCUGAUCACCACAUGUAUUUUAGGCACACAUGCCCACAUGCAUACAUCAUAAACACACACAAUAAUAAUGGUAAUUUAAUUUUUAAAAAGACUGCUUUCCCUAGUAGUACCCAGCACAGGGCAUGAAAUGGCUGUUAAAGGUAGAGUUGACAUAAUGCAGUCAUGUCCAGUAGUCAUGCCAGCCACAGUAUGGUGGCUAAUGUGUGAUUCUGAGGCCAGAGAAGGUGGCAGGUGUAUACUUCUGGUGCCCAGCGCAGGGAAGUUUGUGGAGUGGGGAGACACAGAACCCAGUGAGUUCUUUGUUUCAUGGCCAGGGUUAGGUAAAGCUACUUCCUGAGCAUCCGCGCGCGCGUCUCGGGGUUGGAGAAGAAGGAACUCUGGGUUUAGAAUUGGAUUCUGCUGGAGGUAGCGGUGGUGGUACCUUACUAGUGACAAUUGUGUAGCAACCAUGUAGCCCUUCCGAGGAAGCAGACACCAUUACCUCCUAUAUGUUAACUCAUCUGAUCAUAGAGUAGCCUGCGGGAUGCCUACUACUAAUUGUUGCUGAAGGAAGAAACUGAGGCCACAGAGCUACUUGAGAGUUUCCUGGUUCUUUUAUAGUUGAAUAAGCUUUAAAACAAGAUACUGAACCUUCCAGAGCCCCAGCUUCCUUCGUGAAGUAAUCUGCUAUGUCUAACCCCCCGGGCUUGUUGGUAGACCCACAUGAAAGAACGUUGACAUGUUUUUGAAAAUAAUAUGGUACUAUGAGUAGUUUCAGGAUCAAAGAGAGCUUAGGCUGUUAACAGUCCCAACCAGCCAGGCUCAGCUACCCAUCCCCAGUAUGCUCAUUAAAGAGACCGGUAAUACUUAAACGCAAAGAAAGGAGGUUUACCCCACUUGGCCACUGGAAAGAGAAACAAACAAAGGAUACACUGGCCAUCUUAGGGCUACUGAAAUGAGAGGACAGUAGGUAGGCAUAUUUAAGCAGUUCUGGACAAGGCAUGGCCCCACCCAUCGUGGACCCUUCCAUGUCUCUUUUCUUGGGUCCAUUCUUGUCUCUUCUCCACUUCUGUCUGUCCUAGGAGGACAGGUAAAUUGUCAGGGCUGUACGACAACUUCUAUGGCUGGCACCAGGGCUCCUGCCUUUCUCUCUCUUUAUUAUAAUAUUCCUGGAGGAAAUUUAAGUCUUUGAGAGCCAUUGUCUCAGUAGUUUGAUAGCACAAGUAGUCUUCCUUCCUUCCUUCCUUCCUUCCUUCCUUCCUUCCUUCCUCUCUCUCUCUCUUUCUUCUCUCUCUUUCUUCUCUCUCUUUCUUCUCUCUCUUCUCUCUCUCUUCUCUCUCUUUCUUCUCUCUCUUUCUUCUCUCUCUUUCUUCUCUCUCUUUCUUUCUUUCUUUCUUUCUUUCUUUCUUUCUUUCUUUCUUUCUUUCUUUCUUUCUUUCUUUCUUUCUUUCUUUCUUUCUUUCUUUCUUUCUGUACCUUCUCUCCUGCCAGACAGCCCAGUACCCUGAAGUCCUUUGGAGCCAGCAUCUGCAAAGGGAAACUUACAUAGAUACCGACUUGUGCUCAGUGUCAGCUGCUCGUGGUGUGGGCUGUUCUGUACUUCACAGACGCUCUAGGCUGGCUAGUGGCAGAAUCUUUGCUGGCACUGAAAAAUCAGGAUUUGAGCUGCCAUUUAAAAAUAAUUGAGAAAUGAAUUUUUGUUGGAGUCAAAAUAUGUGAAAUGUUAUCUGAGGAAGGGUUUUUUCGUAUUAAGCUAGCCUUUACCUCCUAGUUGGAUAGUGGAAGGUUACAUGAAGGCUUUGCUUUCGUAGCCCCUUGGGAACAAUGAGGCCACUCAACCGGCAGCAGAAAGGCUGUCUCAGGAGAACCCUGUCAGGUCCCAGAUCCCAGCUGUACACAGCUGGCUGCAGAUUUUAUGGGUUGUUGGGUGUGAUAAAGUUUUUUUCUUGGGUGAAAAACUUGUAGGUUUAACAAGUCACUUUGUAAGAUUUCAUUGGUUUGGAGGUUGUACACAACAGAGCGGUCCACUGCUAGCCCUGGCACACAGCAGUGUCCACACUUGGCCAUGGGGAGUGAUCUGUGAUAAGCCUGGCAAUGGGGCAGGAGAACCAAGGGUGGGGUGACGGAUGUGCCUGCAUGAGCAGCCAAGGAAGGACACUGUGGUCCUCCAGACUUAUCUGGACCUUUGUAGAACUUGCAAAUAGUCCUCCCAUGAGGUCUGAAUAGUUGUCAGGGUUGACCAUAAUGUCUAUGUGAAUAAUUAUAGGUCACUGAGCAGAGCCAGUAGUCAGCUACAUCCCUCAAGAAUGCCUAAUUGUAGGCCUCAACUAUGAAAAUAGACAAGAGCUUAGGUACAUGUCAUACCUUAUUUCAAAGAGCAAUGACAUGAGGCAGCUAUGACUUGGGUGGCUUUCAGUAUGUUGGGAGCAGCUUGGCGAGCAUGUGGACCAGUGCAGAAAAAGGGAGGAGUUCCAUUCCUCAGGUUUCCCACAGAGAGGAAUAUUAGGGGAACACAAGCUUUGGCCAUUGGCUGCAGUUCUUCAGCUCCUGAAUAUAGUUGCUGAAGGUUCAGAAGAGUUUAUAAAUCGUGUUAGAAAAAUAAUACAUUUGUAUGGACAUUUAUGAGGUAUAGGGGUGUGUGGUGUGUGUGUGUGUGUGUGUGUGUGUGUGUGUGUGUGUGUGUGUGUGUGUGUUUGAGUCAGGAUUCUUCAGCUCCUUCUAUGUAUGGAGUUAUAAGGUGCUCUGCCUACCACACUUAGUUUAUAUGGUGCUGGGGAUCAAAGCCUUGCCUUUGUGAUAGGAGGCCUCCAAAUCUAAUAUUUCUAAGUGAACUACUUCAAUUGCUUUUGGGAGCCCAUGAUAACAUGUGGCAGUUUUUAAAACAUUGACAGUGAAGUCUGAAACUCAGAAAAGAGAAUACUUACAGCCAGUGAGCUUUCCUUGGUGCUCAACGUUGUAUAUCUAUUGAGCUGUGAUGGGGAGUCUCUGAGUGAAUGAACGAAUGACUGAAUGGAAGAACUUAGGAAGCAGAUGGUCACUCUAAAACUGUAGCCAGCAAAGAAGCCUAAGUGCAUAGACGUUUUCCGUGGAGGCUUUUAGGUUUUAACAGAUGUCUAAGCAGCUCUGUAGCUAGAAGGUGAGUAUCCAGUUACUGUACCCUAAGGUAUGGAGAUUGGUGAUGGUAUAAUAUGUCUCCUCUUUGGAAUUUGCGGUAUAUUUGAUGGUUAUUGCAUACUUUAACCUGACAUGGUUUUCUCAAAUUUGUGUGUGUGUGUGUGUGUGUGUGUGUGUGUGUGUGUGUGUGUGUGUGUGUUGUCAUUUAGCUUGGAAUGAAUUGUCACCCAUAAAAGAAAGAUGCAGCUUUUUCCUUCAGGGAGAAUUCUGAUAAGGUUCCAAAAUCUCUGAGGGCGGUUUUUAAACAGGAAUUUCAGAAGGACAUACUUUGAGAAUAUUUUAGAAUAAACGUGCAGCACUGAGGACCACUUUAUUGCUGUACGUUUAGUGUUUUACUUUUUUCUGCCAGACUCAAGCUCAGCAAUUGCAGCCAGGCCGAUGGCUCUAGUGCAAGCCGAGAUUAUUUCUUUGAAAAUUUCUCUGUAAAUUCUCUCUCCGCUGGGCCAGAAAGCAAACCGUCACCAACCUGACAGUGACACUUACACACUGUCUUUCUGUCUGUCAGAACUAUGAGGAACUCAAUUUCUGUUGCUUAUUUUUUAAAAAUUGGCUCCAUAGCAGUUGGGUUGUCAUUCACAUGGCUUUUACAGUGAUGGGGAUAUUUAAGUUCUUUAGGAGAAGCAGGAUGGCUGCAGUGUCUUGUCACCCAGUGGGCAGUGUUUCGAGCCUGCUUUUUGUGCUGCCUCAGCUGAGGAGAAAGUCAGAGCUGGGUCUACAUCUCCAGGACUUGUGGGAGGAUGUCCUUAUUUCUCUCAGUUUAAGUUUUCUUAGUUCACUGUGAGAAACAAAGAAUUUUUAGUAGAAGGGGCAUGUGGUACCGCCUGUGCCGGCCUGCAGCAGGGAGGGGACAGGCUAAUUUGUAUCUGCCUUCAUUGUGUGUUCCCAGAAACACUGAGCGCUCAGUACGUGCUAAUGCAGCAGGGAUUCUCUUGAAACUUCCCCUUGCUCACCCUCCCUUUUCUUUCUAAGAAAGCCGUUCCUUAGAGUUUAGGGUCUGGCUACAGGAGUUUGAGGUCCUACUACAUUUCAUUUCCUCUGGAGAAGAGGGAAGAAGACACAGCUCCAGACAGUAAUGGCCUUGCUCUGCACAUCAGCUUCUCACCCAUUGUUUCACUGUGCCUCCUCUGUGCUCCUCAUGACUCCAGACAGACAGUGUCUUCUUCAGAGCAGCUUUGAGGAAACAUGCACUUUCCCACCAACUUCUGUCACCUGGAUUUCUGGGAGAGCAGAAGGCAGUCCGAGUCAUAGAUUUUAGUAAAAGUAUGGGUUAAAAAAUAAUUGUGGCUGGGUAGUGGUGAUGAUGAUGACUGAUUGACGAUUGAUUGAUUAAUUGAUUGAUGGUUGAGCUAGAGAAAUGACUGAGCUGUCAAAAGUUGCUUUUACAGAGGAUCUGGAGUCCAUUCUAGCACCGUUGUCGUGGUUUACAGCUCUCUGCAAUGCCAAAUCCAAGAAAUUUAAUGUCUUCUUUUAUUAUUUAUUUUUGGUUUUUCAAGAUAGGGUUUCUCUGUGUAGCUUUGGCUGUUUUGGAACUCACUCUGUAGAUCAGGCUGGCCUCGAACUCAUAGAGAGAUCUACAUGCCUCUGCCUCACAAGUACUGAGUUGUGCCACCACCACUGGGCCUCCAGUGCUUUCUUAUGCAUUGCCUGUUGAUUCCAAUGAACCACCUAUCAAGACUCUGUCUUGCAAAUGCCAGGAUCUUCUCUUCCCUUCAUCUAUUUCCUAGGUGCAGAGAAAACAGAGAAAAGCAGAGACCAGAGACAUGGGAGCCAUAUGUGUGUGGUGGUGCACAAACAUACAUGCAGGCAAAAAAACACCCAUCUACACAAAAUAAAAAUCAAAUUAACCUUAAAAAAAAAAACUUAUGGAGUUCUCAUAAAAACAAAACAAAAAAAACAAAGAAAAAUUCCAAAAAGCUUGCACAAACUCUUGCUCUGACUUCAUUUGUUCAUUUCUUUGAUUUGUAUUAAUUGGUCCUUGUUAUAUGCUGCUUUAUUCUAAAUUCUAAGGCACAUAAUAGGCACCCUGCACCCUGACCCUUAUCCUCCAAAGUUUGUAACAGGAAUAAGGGACUAAAACAAAGUUAUAGUGUGUGGGAAUCUAGGGAUAUGAAGUUUUCCUCUCUUUAACUUCUGUGUCUUCCUAUUGUCACCCUGUGGUGACCACAGAAGGUGUAUGGGAUCCCUUCUGCAUAUGAGGUCCUAUCUGAAUUCUCAAGGCAGUUACUACCCUUCCUCAUCCCAGCCUCCUCUUCUCCAGGGUAAACAUUCUUGGUUCCUUUAGUCAUUUCCCCUGUGAUGGGCCCCAGUCUCCUUCUCAUCCUGGUCUCUAUCUGUAGGAUGCAGCCCAAACAAAGCCCGCCUCUCUGCCAGUGUGGAGCCCACAACACAAUGAAAUGUCCCAAACAUCGAUUUCCAGGGACGCUCCCAUGUUUCCGCUUUUCUCUGCUUUCCCCACCCAGGGAGAGGAUGGUGGAAAGAGAGGGUCCUAGGGUGCUUCAGACCUAUAACGUCUUGGGAGUUGACCCAUCUGGAUUUAAAAAAAAAAUUAAAGACAAAACCAAACCAAACCUGCUUUCUUUUAUCUCCCGCUGUUGUCCUCUUGUCCUCACACCCCAGUUGGUGUCCAGACAUAUGCAACCCUUCUGUGCAGCAGUUACAAUCAGUCUCUGUCUCUGUCUCUCUGUCUCUGUCUCUGUCUCUGUCUCUCUCUCUCUCUCUCUCUCUCUCUCUCUCUCUCACACACACACACACACACACACACACACACACGUAUUUCAUAAUAUUUUAGUCGACUCUUCUUUUUUUUUUUUUUUUUUUUUUUUGAUUGAGAUUCAGCCAUCCCUAAAUCCAGACUUGCUGCCUGGGCCUUGCUUUUCCCUUUCUGAGUAAAUUGCUUUUCAUUCCUAGGGAAACAAGCAUGGAAAAUUAAAUUCCAGUAUAACUGUAUUCUUGUCACAUUCUCUACUCCAGUCUCCUUUACCCCUAAACCCAAAAUGACGCAUUGAAUCCUAUGACAUCAUGGCAGCUGGCUAUUCUAUCAACAACUGUGAUGUCAGCAAGGGAGGAUUUGAUUUUAGGGAAGAAUAGAAAGGAGUGUGCAGCUGCAUCCCAAUGAAAGAGCAUUUUUAUGCUAAUCUUUACCCAAAAAGCCUGAUUGGCCUUUCAGUGCCCGGCUGCCCUCUUUGGUUCCCAUUCCACUCUGUCUCUGUGGAUUAAUGGGUUGGCUUAUGAGCAUUGCAGUGCCCACAUCUGAGUGUGUAGAAGUCUCCUGCUGCUUGGUUGGCUUCUGGGCUGUGUUUGGGUUUUAUUUAUGAGACAUGUGCUGAAUAGAGCUGUUCAGGGAUGGGGUUGAGAAGGCAGCCUGGGAGCCUGGGAUGAGCCUGAGGCAGAUGUGCAUGGUCUCUGGGUGCAACCAGUUUUCUUGAGGCUGUGGGGCUGGCUGUUCCAUUCUUGGAACACGCUGCCUCUAGACGUGAGUGUUGCUGCCUGCUGCUUCUGAGGCAGGUUGAGGCUUGCCCAGGAACUCCUUCAUGGUUCCUUAACACAGACUUAGAAACACUUGCCACAGAGAAUCCCAGACUUCCUUAGUUUGUGGGUCUUAGUGUUUGAGUAACUUUUUAUAUAGUACCCACAGGCCCAAAGAACUAGCUAGGUUCCACUUAUGAAGCAUUUAGGUUUAAACAAUUUUAUUUUGCUAUAUAUUCAUUCUAACAAAGUGAGUAGCUGUCUAGAAAAUAAAACUAUUUCAUUCUUAAGUAACCAGUUACUUACAGUGGGAUCUGCUGGAUGCUGGAUUCAACAUUGCCACCCAUGUUUCCUGUUCCAUGCUGCUCUCCACGUGGUGCUUGCUUUUUAUCAUAGCAACUGUUGAAAACCAGCUUCGCAAAGACAUGACAUCAUUGAAAAGAAUGUAGUGCAGUUGGAUGUUCAGACUUGUGUGGUGUCUAACAGAUGUUCAGGGAUUCUUUCCCAAAUUUAUAAUAUGUGGCAGUACUGCUCUACUUUGCCAAGUUGUUUUGGGUACCUCAGCAUGCAGUUUGAGAAUGAAGGACAUGUAGCUACUGAGUAGCAUCUGCAUUCAGAACUCGGGCAGAUAGGAGGGGGCAGAUAGGAGGACAGACUCCUUUUAUCUUUUUUCUCAGCUCUAAAAGGACUGUGUUGUAAGAAAAAGGCCUGCUUUGACCAGAAUCUGUGUUUGUGGCGGUUUGGCACCUAGUUGAGGAAAAGUGAUGAGUACCUGUCCAUUGAUUUUUGUGUUGACUGAGAGCCUUCUAAACUAGAUAGGUGAAAGGAAAGCACUGUUAUAACACCAAGAAUCCAAGGGCAAGGCAUUAGAUCUGUUGCCAAUAUCUCAGUAGAGCUUGCCUGCAGGGAUACACAUGAGGUGGUGGAGGGUGGUUUCCUGCCACAAGACAGACAGACAAUAGAGGCCUAAUGUGGCUCACUACCAAGUACAGAGCCUCCUUUACCUUUCUAGACCCUAGUCCUGCAAUUUACAAUGAAGCUCAAGGAAAUUACUGUCUUUGAACCCUACCUAGUUAUUUUGUCUAUAAAAUAGAAAAAACAAUGAUAGCUACCUCUUACAGAGUUACAGAGAUUAAAUGAAUAAAAUACAUGCAUAGAACUAGCAGACUAUGGCCACACUGAUGCACUUUCUUCUUAUGCCGUCAGGGUUUGGGGAACAAAAGGUAUUCACCCAAACCUAAGCUAAAGUUGAGCUUUAAUAUCUACAUAGAACCUGCAGUUUGAAAUAUCUUCUUUAUUACCACCUAAAAUUUUUUUGGUGAUACUGAGGAUUAAAUCCAGGGCCUAAUAUAUAAGGGAAAUGUUCUACAACUGAACUACAUCAUAGAGCUAGGCAUGGUAGCUCACACCCUUAAUCCCAGCACCUGCAAGGCAGAGGCAAGAGGAUCUCUGCGUUGGAAGCCAGCCUGGUGUAAAGAGUGAGUUCCAGGAUAGCCAAGGCUAGAUAGCUACCCUGUCUACAAACACACAGAAGAAUAACAGCAACAAAGAGACUUAUUCAUCACUAGACCUAUUCUGUGCCAGGAUCUCACUCUGUCAUCAAGGCUGUUCUGAGGGGGAAAAAGAAGAAAAAAAAAAGGUGUUUCAGCCUUCCAGAUUCUGAGGUUACAGAUGUAUGCCACCAUACUUGGCCCUUUAUUAUUUCUUGAUAAUGCUGCUUUGUAAAUAAUGUUCCAGAGUCACUGAGCUCCAUGUUUUGUUUGCUAUGUGAAAACAUUUUACUGAAAUAUGAUAUAGAAAUGACAUUAUAUGUAUCCAGGUCCAACAGAGUUUUACAAAUGAACCCAUGCAACCAGAACUGUAGUCUGGAAACAAUAUAUUACCCUUUUCUACUUCUCCUACAGCAUUUCCCAAAGUUUUUCCAACCUGUACUUCCUUUUGGUAAGUGUGAAGUUCUGCCACACGUGCAGGGUCUUCUGCACGUUGAGAGUUACAGUGCUGCAUGGAGGACUGACCGAUCAGUAGUGUUCAAAACCCUAGACAUUAGAAAGGACGCGCAGCAGAAGUCCGGUGCACUUCUAGUUGGGAAGUCUUUGUAAAGAGCAAGUGUGCUUGAGCUCUUGAGUAAUUCCUCUCCUGCAAGCAGAGUGUGAAGUGGUCAGAAAGCUUGGGUCUUGAUAGGUCUGAUUGGGGUUGGGGAUUUAGCUCAGUGGUAGAGCGCUUGCCUAGCAAGCGCAAGGCCCUGGGUUCGGUUCCCAGCUCCGGAAAAAAAAAAAAAAGAAAAAAAGAAAAAAAGAAAAAAAGAAAAAAAAAGGUUGAUAGGUCUGAUUGGUGCAGAUAGGUAAAUAUAAUUUGUUAGAAAGCUGGAAUAGGUGUCCUGCCCUAAGAGAUGGACAUUUGUAAUGGAACCCAAAGCUUAUUCAAGUGCAGUCACACUGAAGCGAUAGUACCCAGCAGUUCCUUUAAAAACAUUUGCUAAGAACUGUUCUAGACACUGAAGGAAGGAGUGGUAAACAAAGAUAAAAAAUAAAUCAAAGCCUAGGGUAUGGGAUUUCAUAUUCCUAAAAAUGAGUGUGUCGGGUGAUGAUAAAUGCUGUAGAGGAAAAUAGAAAAGACAAAGCAGAGUGCUGAUGGGGUAGCAGAUUAGGGAAAGGCUUUGAUUCUGUGUAGCAUCAUCAGGGACACUUCACUGAGAAGAUGGCAUCUAACGAAA